rnacentral:rRNA from 1 species
AGAGUUUGAUCCUGGCUCAGAUUGAACGCUGGCGGCAGGCCUAACACAUGCAAGUCGAGCGGUAGAGAGAAGCUUGCUUCUCUUGAGAGCGGCGGACGGGUGAGUAAUGCCUAGGAAUCUGCCUGGUAGUGGGGGAUAACGUUCGGAAACGGACGCUAAUACCGCAUACGUCCUACGGGAGAAAGCAGGGGACCUUCGGGCCUUGCGCUAUCAGAUGAGCCUAGGUCGGAUUAGCUAGUUGGUGAGGUAAUGGCUCACCAAGGCGACGAUCCGUAACUGGUCUGAGAGGAUGAUCAGUCACACUGGAACUGAGACACGGUCCAGACUCCUACGGGAGGCAGCAGUGGGGAAUAUUGGACAAUGGGCGAAAGCCUGAUCCAGCCAUGCCGCGUGUGUGAAGAAGGUCUUCGGAUUGUAAAGCACUUUAAGUUGGGAGGAAGGGCAGUAAAUUAAUACUUUGCUGUUUUGACGUUACCGACAGAAUAAGCACCGGCUAACUCUGUGCCAGCAGCCGCGGUAAUACAGAGGGUGCAAGCGUUAAUCGGAAUUACUGGGCGUAAAGCGCGCGUAGGUGGUUUGUUAAGUUGGAUGUGAAAUCCCCGGGCUCAACCUGGGAACUGCAUUCAAAACUGACUGACUAGAGUAUGGUAGAGGGUGGUGGAAUUUCCUGUGUAGCGGUGAAAUGCGUAGAUAUAGGAAGGAACACCAGUGGCGAAGGCGACCACCUGGACUAAUACUGACACUGAGGUGCGAAAGCGUGGAGAGCAAACAGGAUUAGAUACCCCGGUAGUCCACGCCGUAAACGAUGUCAACUAGCCGUUGGAAGCCUUGAGCUUUUAGUGGCGCAGCUAACGCAUUAAGUUGACCGCCUGGGGAGUACGGCCGCAAGGUUAAAACUCAAAUGAAUUGACGGGGGCCCGCACAAGCGGUGGAGCAUGUGGUUUAAUUCGAAGCAACGCGAAGAACCUUACCAGGCCUUGACAUCCAAUGAACUUUCUAGAGAUAGAUUGGUGCCUUCGGGAACAUUGAGACAGGUGCUGCAUGGCUGUCGUCAGCUCGUGUCGUGAGAUGUUGGGUUAAGUCCCGUAACGAGCGCAACCCUUGUCCUUAGUUACCAGCACGUAAUGGUAGGCACUCUAAGGAGACUGCCGGUGACAAACCGGAGGAAGGUGGGGAUGACGUCAAGUCAUCAUGGCCCUUACGGCCUGGGCUACACACGUGCUACAAUGGUCGGUACAGAGGGUUGCCAAGCCGCGAGGUGGAGCUAAUCCCAUAAAACCGAUCGUAGUCCGGAUCGCAGUCUGCAACUCGACUGCGUGAAGUCGGAAUCGCUAGUAAUCGCGAAUCAGAAUGUCGCGGUGAAUACGUUCCCGGGCCUGUACUAACGGCCCGUC